ACGCUCGACACCUACGGGAGCAGCAGUGGGGAAUAUUGCACAAUGGGGGAAACCCUGAUGCAGCGACGCCGCGUGAGUGAAGAAGUAAUUCGUUAUGUAAAGCUCUAUCAGCAGGGAAGAAAGUGACGGUACCUGAGUAAGAAGCCCCGGCUAACUACGUGCAGCAGCCGCGGUAAUCUGAGCGGGCUGGCAAGGC
rnacentral:rRNA from 1 species